AUAGCAGCAACAGCCUUUUGGCUAAGAUCAAGUGUAGUAUCUAUUCUUAUUAGUUUAAUAUCUGAUACGUCCUCUGUCCACUCAAA
ensembl:snRNA U2 U2 spliceosomal RNA